rnacentral:rRNA from 1 species
CUGGCUCAGGACGAACGCUGGCGGCGUGCUUAACACAUGCAAGUUGUGCGAGAAAGUUACCUUCGGGUAACAAGUAAAGCAGCGAACGGGUGAGUAACGCGUAAGUAUCUACCUUUAAGUCUGGGAUAACUCUUCGAAAGAGGGGCUAAUACCAGAUAUACUCCUUUGGAGGAAAGAUGGUAUUACUAUUGCUUAAAGAUGAGCUUGCGUCCCAUUAGCUAGUUGGUGAGAUAACAGCUCACCAAGGCAACGAUGGGUAGCCGACCUGAGAGGGUGAUCGGCCACACUGGGACUGAGACACGGCCCAGACUCCUACGGGAGGGCUGCAGUGGGGAAUCUUCCGCAAUGGGCGAAAGCCUGACGGAGCAACGCCGCGUGAGUGAUGAAGGCCUUAGGGUCGUAAAGCUCUGUCUUUAGGGAAGAACACUUUAGUAGUGAAUAACUGCUAGAAUUGACGGUACCUUUAAAGGAAGCCCCGGCUAAUUACGUGCCAGCAGCCGCGGUAACACGUAAGGGGCUAGCGUUGUCCGGAAUUACUGGGCGUAAAGGGUACGCAGGCGGUCUAGCAAGUCAGAGGUGAAAUCCAUUGGCUUAACCAAUGAAGUGCCUUUGAAACUGUUAGACUUGAGAGCAAGAGAGGAAGAUGGAAUUCCUGGUGUAGUGGUGAAAUACGUAGAUAUCAGGAAGAAUACCAAUGGCGAAAGCAGUCUUCUGGCUUGACUCUGACGCUGAGGUACGAAAGCUAGGGUAUCAAACGGGAUUAGAUACCCCGGUAGUCCUAGCUGUAAACGCUGGAUACUAGGUGUUGGAGGUUCAACUCCUUCGGUGCCGUAGUUAACGCUUUAAGCAUCCCACCUGGGGAGUACGCCGGCAACGGUGAAACUCAAAGGAAUUGACGGGGGCCCGCACAAGCGGAGGAACAUGUGGUUUAAUUCGAUGAUACGCGAAGAACCUUACCAGAACUUGACAUCCCUGUGAUCGUUCUUUAACAAGAACUUUUCCUUUUGGAACACAGAUGACAGGUGGUGCAUGGCUGUCGUCAGCUCGUGUCGUGAGAUGUUGGGUUAAGUCCCGCAACGAGCGUAACCCCUAUUCUUAGUUGCCAGCAUGUAGUGAUGGGGACUCUAAGAAGACUGCCGCGGGAGCAACGCGGAGGAAGGUGGGGAUGACGUCAAGUCAUCAUGCCCCUUAUGUUCUGGGCUACACACGUGCUACAAUGGUUUAUACAGAGGGGAGCGAAGCCGCAAGGUGGAGCAAAUCCCCAAAAGUAGACCUCAGUUCGGAUUGCAGAUUGCAACUCAUCUGCAUGAAGCUGGAGUCGCUAGUAAUCGUGGAUCAGAAUGCCACGGUGAAUCCGUUCUCGGGCCUUGUACACACCGCCCGUCACACCACCCGAGUUGGGGGCACCAGAAGUCACUG